rnacentral:rRNA from 1 species
UACGUAGGGGGCAAGCGUUGUCCGGAUUUAUUGGGCGUAAAGAGCGUGUAGGCGGCUAGGUAGGUCCGUUGUGAAAACUCGAGGCUCAACCUCGAGACGUCGAUGGAAACCAUCUGGCUAGAGUCCGGAAGAGGAGAGUGGAACUCCUGGUGUAGCGGUGAAAUGCGCAGAUAUCAGGAAGAACAUCAGUGGCGAAGGCGGCCAUCUGGGACAACACUGACGCUGAAGCACGAAAGCGUGGGGAGCAAACAGG